GGACAGGGAGACAGGUGGUGCAUGGUUGUCGUCAGCUCGUGUCGUGAGAUGUUGGUUAAGUCCCGCAACGAGCGCAACCCUUAUCUUUAGUUGCCAUCAGGUAAUGCUGGGCACUCUAGAGAGACUGCCGGUGACAAACCGGAGGAAGGUGGGGAUGACGUCAAAUCAUCAUGCCCCUUAUGUCCUGGGCUACACACGUACUACAAUGGCCGGUACAAAGGGCGGCGAAGGGGUGACCCGGAGCAAAUCCCAGCAAAACCGGUCUCAGCUCGGAUUGUAGUCUGCAACUCGACUACAUGAAGUCGGAAUCGCUAGUAAUCGCAGGUCAGCAUACUGCGGUGAAUACGUUCCCGGGCCUU
rnacentral:rRNA from 1 species